AUGCAAGUCGAACGGUGAAGCCCAGCUUGCUGGGUGGAUCAGUGGCGAACGGGUGAGUAACACGUGAGCAAUCUGCCCCUGACUCUGGGAUAAGCGCUGGAAACGGCGUCUAAUACUGGAUAUGAACCGUGGAGGCAUCUUCAACGGUUGGAAAGAUUUUUUGGUCAGGGAUGAGCUCGCGGCCUAUCAGCUUGUUGGUGAGGUAAUGGCUCACCAAGGCGUCGACGGGUAGCCGGCCUGAGAGGGUGACCGGCCACACUGGGACUGAGACACGGCCCAGACUCCUACGGGAGGCAGCAGUGGGGAAUAUUGCACAAUGGGCGCAAGCCUGAUGCAGCAACGCCGCGUGAGGGAUGACGGCCUUCGGGUUGUAAACCUCUUUUAGCAGGGAAGAAGCGAAAGUGACGGUACCUGCAGAAAAAGCGCCGGCUAACUACGUGCCAGCAGCCGCGGUAAUACGUAGGGCGCAAGCGUUAUCCGGAAUUAUUGGGCGUAAAGAGCUCGUAGGCGGUUUGUCGCGUCUGCUGUGAAAUCCCGAGGCUCAACCUCGGGUCUGCAGUGGGUACGGGCAGACUAGAGUGCGGUAGGGGAGAUUGGAAUUCCUGGUGUAGCGGUGGAAUGCGCAGAUAUCAGGAGGAACACCGAUGGCGAAGGCAGAUCUCUGGGCCGUAACUGACGCUGAGGAGCGAAAGGGUGGGGAGCAAACAGGCUUAGAUACCCUGGUAGUCCACCCCGUAAACGUUGGGAACUAGUUGUGGGGUCCAUUCCACGGAUUCCGUGACGCAGCUAACGCAUUAAGUUCCCCGCCUGGGGAGUACGGCCGCAAGGCUAAAACUCAAAGGAAUUGACGGGGACCCGCACAAGCGGCGGAGCAUGCGGAUUAAUUCGAUGCAACGCGAAGAACCUUACCAAGGCUUGACAUAUACGAGAACGCUGCAGAAAUGUAGAACUCUUUGGACACUCGUAAACAGGUGGUGCAUGGUUGUCGUCAGCUCGUGUCGUGAGAUGUUGGGUUAAGUCCCGCAACGAGCGCAACCCUCGUUCUAUGUUGCCAGCACGUAAUGGUGGGAACUCAUGGGAUACUGCCGGGGUCAACUCGGAGGAAGGUGGGGAUGACGUCAAAUCAUCAUGCCCCUUAUGUCUUGGGCUUCACGCAUGCUACAAUGGCCGGUACAAAGGGCUGCAAUACCGUAAGGUGGAGCGAAUCCCAAAAAGCCGGUCCCAGUUCGGAUUGAGGUCUGCAACUCGACCUCAUGAAGUCGGAGUCGCUAGUAAUCGCAGAUCAGCAACGCUGCGGUGAAUACGUUCCCGGGUCUUGUACACACCGCCCGUCAAGUCAUGAAAGUCGGUAACACCUGAAGCCGGUGGCCCAACCCUUGUGGAGGGAGCC
rnacentral:rRNA from 1 species